UACGGAGGGGGCUAGCGUUGUUCGGAAUUACUGGGCGUAAAGCGCGCGUAGGCGGCUUUGUAAGUUAGAGGUGAAAGCCCGGAGCUUAACUCCGGAACUGCCUUUAAGACUGCAUCGCUAGAAUUGUGGAGAGGUAAGUGGAAUUCCGAGUGUAGAGGUGAAAUUCGUAGAUAUUCGGAAGAACACCAGUGGCGAAGGCGACUUACUGGACACAUAUUGACGCUGAGGUGCGAAAGCGUGGGGAGCAAACAGGAUUAGAAACCCCCGUAGUCC
rnacentral:rRNA from 1 species